AUUGAACGCUGGCGGAAUGCUUUACACAUGCAAGUCGAGCGGCAGCGCGGGGGCAACCCUGGCGGCGAGCGGCGAACGGGUGAGUAACAUAUCGGAACGUACCCCGUCGUGGGGGAUAACACAGCGAAAGCUGUGCUAAUACCGCAUACGACCUGAGGGUGAAAGCGGGGGAUCGCAAGACCUCGCGCGAUGGGAGCGGCCGAUAUCGGAUUAGCUUGUUGGUGAGGUAAAGGCUCACCAAGGCGACGAUCCGUAGCUGGUCUGAGAGGACGACCAGCCACACUGGAACUGAGACACGGUCCAGACUCCUACGGGAGGCAGCAGUGGGGAAUUUUGGACAAUGGGGGCAACCCUGAUCCAGCCAUUCCGCGUGAGUGAAGAAGGCCUCGGUUGUAAGCUCUUUCUAGCAGGAACGAAACGGUAGG
rnacentral:rRNA from 1 species